ensembl:lncRNA
CCAGGUUCAUAAUAUGCCAGCCAUGCCCCAGCCGAUCUGCGGUUGCCUGUCCAGUUUGUCAAAUGGAGCUCAGGACCUGGUGGACAUCUGUUUCCAUUGGUGUUGGGCUGUCAAUCUGCAAGGCAGAGAAGAAGGAUGAAAGGAGCAGCCUCCUGCCCUGCUUCCCUGCUCUGCCAUCCCCUGCACAGCCCCGCUCACCGGAUUGCUGGUCUGCCAGCCAUGCCCGUGGCUGUGUGGGGCUGCCUGUUUCCCCAAGCCUGGGUGGAAAGCGGCACAGCAGUCAGCAGGCCAGGUGCCAGCACCUAGAGUGGGGCCCGUGCUCAUCUAAGUCGUAUCAACAGUUGGGGUGAGGGCAGGGGUGUCUUGGGGAGCAGACAGGGGCCCUUCAGGCGCAGGAAGGAUACCAAUUGUGGCAGACUUAUCUGUCUUGUAUGGCACUGAGACCGGUUAGAGAGCUGAGGACAGGCGUGUGUCCAGCUCUGGUUCCAUCUUGGUGUGGACUCCCAUCUGCAAGGCAGAGGAGAAGGAUGAAAGGAGCAGCCUCCUGACCUGCUUCUCUGCUCUGCCCUCCCCUGCACAGCCCCGCUCACCGGGUUCCUGGUCUGAAAAUGGUUUCCUUGGCCAUUUUGUGCUCACUGUGUCAGCAGCGCCGCAUUGACACGGCCACUGUAGUCAUGCGCUGUGGUGCCGGCACCUGCAGUGGGGUCGGGAUUCAGCAAAGCAGAGUUAAAGUUUUAGGGUAACAGCCGGGGGAUGCUAUGGAGCUUCCAUAGGCCUGCAGGUGCAAGACAGGCUACAGUUUGGGCGUGACUUAUCUUUUUUGUAGGACGUGAACACCAGUUUGUCAAAUGGAGCUCAGGCCCUGGUGGUCAUCUGUUUCCGUUGGUGUUGGGCUGUCCAUCUGCAAGGCAGAUGUGAGGCACGAGAGGAGCAGCCUCCUGCCCUACUUCUCUGUGCUGCCCUCCCUUGCACAGCCCCGCUCACCGGGUUGCUGGUCUGAAAAUGGUUUCCUUGGCCAUUUUGGGCUCACUGUGUCAGCAGCGCCAUGUUGAGAUUGCCACUGCAGUCAUGCGGUAUGGUGCUGGCACCUGCAGUGGGGUUGAGAUUCAGCAAAGCAGAGUUAAAGGUUUGGGUUAAUGCAGGGGGAUGCUAUGGAGCUUCCAUAGGCCUGUAGUUGCAAGACAGGCUAGAGUUUGAGCGUGACUUAUCUUUUUUGUUGGAUGUGAACUCCAGUUUGUCAAAUGGAGCUCAGGCCCUGGUGGUCAUCUGUUUCAAUUGGUGUUGGGCUGUCCAUCUGCAAGGCAGAUGAGAGGCACGAGAGGAGCAGCCUCCUGCUCUGCUUCCCCGUGCUGCCCUCCCCUGCACAGCCCUGCUCACCAGGUUGCUGGUCUGCCAGCCAUGUCCAUGGCUGUGUGGGGCUGCCUGUUUCCCCAAGCCUGGGUGGAAAGCGGCACGGCAGUCAGCAGGCCUGGUGCCAGCACCUAGAGUGGGGCCCGUGCUCAGCUAAGGGGUAUCAACUCUUGGGGUGAGGGCUGGAUUUCCUGGGGAACAGCCAGGAGUUCUGUGGUCCCAGGAAGGAUACCGUUUGUGGCUGACUUAUCUGUCUUGUAUGGCAUGGAGACCGGUUACAGAGCUGAGGACAGGCGUGUGUCCAGCUCUGGUUCCAUCUUGGUGUGGACUCCCAUCUGCAAGGCAGAGGGGAAGGAUGAAAGGAGCAGCCUCCUGCCCUGCUUCCCUGCUCUGCCCUCCCCCUGCACAGCCCUGCUCACCGAGUUCCUGGUCUGAAAAUGGUUUCCUUGGCCAUUUUGUGCUCACUGUGUCAGCAGCGCCACGUUGACACGGCCACUGCAGUCAUGCGGUGUGGUGCCGGCACCUGCAGUGGGAUGAGGAGUCAGCAAAGCAGAGAUAUAG